rnacentral:rRNA from 1 species
GAAUCUUCCGCAAUGGGCGAAAGCCUGACGGAGCGACGCCGCGUGAGCGAGGAAGGCCUUCGGGUCGUAAAGCUCUGUUGUCAGGGAAGAAGGCGCGCCGUUCGAAGAGGGCGGCGCGGUGACGGUACCUGACGAGGAAGCCCCGGCUAACUACGUGCCAGCAGCCGCGGUAAAACGUAGGGGGCGAGCGUUGUCCGGAAUUACUGGGCGUAAAGCGCGCGCAGGCGGUCCUUUAAGUCUGAUGUGAAAUUCCGCGGCUCAACCGCGGGUGUGCAUUGGAAACUGGGGGACUUGAGUGCGGAAGAGGGGAGCGGAAUUCCCGGUGUAGCGGUGAAAUGCGUAGAGAUCGGGAGGAACACCAGUGGCGAAGGCGGCUCUCUGGUCCGCAACUGACGCUGAGGCGCGAAAGCGUGGGGAGCGAA